rnacentral:rRNA from 1 species
UACGUAGGGUGCAAGCGUUAAUCGGAAUUACUGGGCGCAAAGCGUGCGCAGGCGGUUCUAUAAGACAGAUGUGAAAUCCCCGGGCUCAACCUGGGAACUGCAUUUGUGACUGUAGAGCUGGAGUACGGUAGAGGGGGAUGGAAUUCCGCGUGUAGCAGUGAAAUGCGUAGAUAUGCGGAGGAACACCGAUGGCGAAGGCAAUCCCCUGGACCUGUACUGACGCUCAUGCACGAAAGCGUGGGGAGCAAACAGG